UACGUAGGGUGCGAGCGUUGUCCGGAAUUAUUGGGCGUAAAGAGCUCGUAGGCGGUGUGUCGCGUCGGUCGUGAAAACUUGGGGCUUAACCCUGAGCUUGCGGUCGAUACGGGCAUCACUGGAGUUCGGCAGGGGAGACUGGAAUUCCUGGUGUAGCGGUGAAAUGCGCAGAUAUCAGGAGGAACACCGGUGGCGAAGGCGGGUCUCUGGGCCGAUACUGACACUGAGGAGCGAAAGCGUGGGGAGCGAACAGG
rnacentral:rRNA from 1 species